UAUAUCUUAGUGUACGGUGCACAGAAGCCUUUGAAGCUUAAUGACUGGGUUCGACUCCCAAAUUUAUAA
rnacentral:tRNA from 1 species